rnacentral:lncRNA from 1 species
AGAAAAAUAAAUAUAGUGUUACUCGUAGCUCCGUCAAGGAGUUAGUACAAAAUUGUUGCUAAUACAACCACAUAAUUAGUAUUGAUUUAAUCCCUAAGAAUUUCCAAUUUUAUGGUGUGUAAUAUUGGUGCUCUUAAACUGAUAACAAUCCUAUUUUCCAUGCUUCCACUGAGCAUAUUAAGUUUGAUUAUCACUUUAGACGACAGCAUAACGAAAAAAUUGUGAACUCCUCCAAUGAGCAAAUCGGUGAUAUUUUAACUAAGC